rnacentral:rRNA from 1 species
AGAGACUGCAAGCGUUAUUCGGAUUCACUGGGCGUAAAGGGUGCGCAGGCGGCCGUGUGUGUGAGGCGUGAAAGCCCGGGGCUUAACCCCGGAAUUGCACCUCAAACUACACGGCUAGAGCAUUGGAGAGGGUAGCGGAAUUCACGGUGUAGCAGUGAAAUGCGUAGAUAUCGUGAGGAACACCAGAGGCGAAGGCGGCUACCUGGACAAUUGCUGACGCUCAGGCACGAAAGCGUGGGGAGCAAAAGGGAUUAGAUACCCCUGUAGUCCACGCCCUAAACGGUGCACACUAGGUCUUGGCGGAUCCGACCCCACCAGGGCCCAAGCUAACGCGUUAAGUGUGCCGCCUGAGGACUACGGCCGCAAGGCUA